AGGAGCUUGGUGUAGUGGCUAGCACGUUGGGCUCAUGACCCAAAGACGCCGGUUCGAGUCCGGUAGCUCCUC
rfam:Verruconis gallopava strain CBS 43764 unplaced genomic scaffold supercont1.8, whole genome shotgun sequence.